rnacentral:rRNA from 1 species
AUACGUAGGGAGCAAGCGUUAUCCGAAUUUAUUGGGUGUAAAGCGUGUGUAGGCGGUUUUAUAAGUCUAAGGUUUAAGUCCGAAGCUUAACUUCGGUUCGCCUUAGAAACUGUUUUACUUGAAUGCGGUAGAGGCAAGUGGAAUUUCUAGUGUAGCGGUAAAAUGCUUAGAUAUUAGAAGAGACACCAGUGGCGAAGGCGACUAGCUGGGCGGUGAUUGACGCUGAGACACGAAAGCGUGGGGAGCAAAUAGGAUUAGAUACCCUAGUAGUCCACGCCGUAAACGAUGAAUACUAAGUAUCGGAAUUUUCGGUGCUGAAGUUAACACAUUAAGUAUUCCACCUGAGUAGUACGGUCGCAAGGCUGAAACUCAAAUGAAUUGACGGGG